rnacentral:rRNA from 1 species
GAUGAACGCUGGCGGCGUGCCUAAUACAUGCAAGUCGAGCGAACAGACGAGGAGCUUGCUCCUCUGACGUUAGCGGCGGACGGGUGAGUAACACGUGGAUAACCUACCUAUAAGACUGGGAUAACUUCGGGAAACCGGAGCUAAUACCGUAUAAUAUAUUGAACCGCAUGGUUCAAUAGUGAAAGACGGUUUUGCUGUCACUUAUAGAUGGAUCCGCGCCGCAUUAGCUAGUUGGUAAGGUAACGGCUUACCAAGGCAACGAUGCGUAGCCGACCUGAGAGGGUGAUCGGCCACACUGGAACUGAGACACGGUCCAGACGACUACGGGAGGCAGCAGUAGGGAAUCUUACGCAAUGGGCGAAAGCCUGACGGAGCAACGCCGCGUGAGUGAUGAAGGUCUUCGGAUCGUAAAAAUCUGUUAUUAGGGAAGAACAAAUGUGUAAGUAACUAUGCACGUCUUGACGGUACCUAAUCAGAAAGCCACGGCUAACUACGUG